rnacentral:rRNA from 1 species
GUAAGCUAGGUCGGGCGGCGAGGGGAGUACAGGGGGUGUAGGCGUUAACUGGAAGUAAUGGGGGUAAAGCGGGUGUAGGUGGCUCAUUAAGUCACAGGUGAAAUCCCCGGGCGUAACCUGGGAACUGCAUGUGAUACUGGUGGUGCUAGAAUAUGUGAGAGGGAAGUAGAAUUCCAGGUGUAGCGGUGAAAUGCGUAGAGAUCUGGAGGAAUACCGAUGGCGAAGGCAGCUUCCUGGCAUAAUAUUGACACUGAGAUUCGAAAGCGUGGGUAGCAAACAGGAUUAGAUACCCGGGUAGUC